AGCACUUGACAAGUGGAGACCGGUCCCAGCAGCGCAGCUGCACCCCGCGGGCCCUGCCCCGAAGUGGGGCCUCUUAGUCCGCCACAGCUGGCAUUUCUGACCGGACCGGCUCAGAACCAGCCCGGGAAAACCAUGUAACAUGGGAAACUAUGCUACGGAGACCUGGAUGCUUGGAGAGAGCGCACGGGGCAGGUGCCAAGCAGGACCAGGAAACGGCGGCACCACAGCCGCCCUGUUCAGCAGACUCACAGGCGACUUCGCACACCCACUCUCAGUGCUGCAGCCCAGAGCACGUGCCUGUGGCCCACCGCCUCUCUCCUGCCAGCUUGGUGAGGUUACGCUUUCUUCUUUAUUGCAGUAACAUGUGUAACACACUGGUGACAGACAGAGUUACCAGGAUGGGUAGUGACGGUGGCUGCCUGGCGGUGUGGAUGUAUUUGACACUACUGAACUGUGUACUUAAAGGUGGUUAAGAUGGUAAACGUGAUGUGCAUUUUCACACAAUAAAAACAAAACAAAACACG